rnacentral:rRNA from 1 species
UACGUAGGGUGCAAGCGUUGUCCGGAAUUAUUGGGCGUAAAGAGCUCGUAGGCGGUUUGUCACGUCUGCUGUGAAAUCCCGAGGCUCAACCUCGGGCCUGCAGUGGGUACGGGCAGACUGGAGUGCGGUAGGGGAGAAUGGAAUUCCUGGUGUAGCGGUGGAAUGCGUAGAGAUCGUAAGGAAGACCAGUGGCGAAGGCGAGUUUCUGGACGGUAACUGACGCUGAGGCACGAAGGCCAGGGGAGCAAACGGG